rnacentral:snoRNA from 1 species
CUGCGAAUAUUCUCGCUGUUCUGAUUGUAUCAUAAUCAGGGCAGGCUAAACAUUUGCUACAGUAAGACCAUGCAUGUAUUCCCAGACCUCGAUCUUUCCCUGGAUCUGGUUUUAUAAAUGCUAGUGAUAAGC